UGAGGAGCGAAAGCAUGGGGAGCGAACAGGCUUAGAUACCCUGGUAGUCCAUGCCGUAAACGUUGGGCGCUAGGUGUGGGGUCCUAUCCACGGAUUCCGUGCCGCAGCUAACGCAUUAAGCGCCCCGCCUGGGGAGUACGGCCGCAAGGCUAAAACUCAAAGGAAUUGACGGGGGCCCGCACAAGCGGCGGAGCAUGCGGAUUAAUUCGAUGCAACGCGAAGAACCUUACCAAGGCUUGACAUACGCCGGAAACACUCAGAGAUGGGUGCCCCGCAAGGUCGGUGUACAGGUGGUGCAUGGUUGUCGUCAGCUCGUGUCGUGAGAUGUUGGGUUAAGUCCCGCAACGAGCGCAACCCUCGUUCUAUGUUGCCAGCGGGUCAUGCCGGGGACUCAUAGGAGACUGCCGGGGUCAACUCGGAGGAAGGUGGGGAUGACGUCAAAUCAUCAUGCCCCUUAUGUCUUGGGCUUCACGCAUGCUACAAUGGCCGGUACAAAGGGCUGCGAAACCGCAAGGUGGAGCGAAUCCCAAAAAGUCGGUCUCAGUUCGGAUUGGGGUCUGCAACUCGACCCCAUGAAGUCGGAGUCGCUAGUAAUCGCAGAUCAGCAACGCUGCGGUGAAUACGUUCCCGGGCCUUGUACACACCGCCCGUCACGUCACGAAAGUCGGUAACACCCGAAGCCGGUGGCCCAACCCCUUGUGGGAGGGAGCCGUCGAAGGUGGGACUGGCGAUUGGGACGAAGUCGUAACAAGGUAACC
rnacentral:rRNA from 1 species